GAGCGAAGGUCCCAGCAGAGGGCAGGAUAACUCAUAGAUUGAGUGCUCUCUAACAUUUAAUUAAUUCCUUCGCAGAUUAGACUGCCGAAUCGUAGGACGCCCUAAUUUUAUUAGUUUUGGAUCGUCUUGAACCCUCGGCAACAUUUUU